rnacentral:rRNA from 1 species
GACAGAGGAUGCAAGCGUUAUCCGGAAUGAUUGGGCGUAAAGCGUCUGUAGGUGGCUUUUUAAGUCCGCCGUCAAAUCCCAGGGCUCAACCCUGGACAGGCGGUGGAAACUACCAAGCUGGAGUACGGUAGGGGCAGAGGGAAUUUCCGGUGGAGCGGUGAAAUGCGCAGAUAUCGGGAAGAACACCCGUGGCGAAGGCGGCUCUCUGGGACGGUACUGACGCUGAGACGCGAAAGCGUGGGGAGCGAACAGG